CCCUAUUACCCUAAAUAAUAAACGGCUGCGGUAUCCUGACCGUACUAAGGUAGCAUAAUCACUUGUCUAUUAAUUGUAGUCUAGAAUGAACGGGUAAACGUAUAUUUAACUGUCUCUAUUUAGCCCAUAUAAUUUAACAUCUAAGUGAAAAGGCUUAGAUAAAAAAGAAGGACAAGAAGACCCUAUAGAUCUUCAACUAUAUAUGAACCUCCUUUCCAUCAACAUAUAGAAUUUGGAUGGGGCGUCCCGAGCCACUCUAUUUCCUAUACCACUCUCAUUAUUUCAUAGAGCUACAACUCUUCACCAACCUCCUAACCUUAGUAUACCACUAAAUUAUGAAAACUAAAGUUACCUUAGGGAUAACAGGCUAAUUUCUUCUCAAGAGUUCAUAUUCACAGAAGAGCUUGGCACCUCGAUGUUGGCUUAGG
rnacentral:rRNA from 1 species